ensembl:lncRNA
GCCGCACACAGAGAAACAUACAUGGCAUAAAACACAAAAUUACUACAGUGAUGUGAGCUGACAGUGUGAAAAAUGCUUUAGAUAAGUCUCCUGAAGAAUGUUUCCAGACAGUGACCAAAAUGAAAAUGUAGGAUAUAAUUAAAGAGAAGAAGGCAGCCAUGGAAAUAAACCCACUAUUAGCAAUAAUUACAAACUCUAGCUUGUAAUUGUCUACACAAGCAAGUUUCAUGACCCAAGGAAAGUCACAGUAAAAACUGUCUACUUUAUUGGGACAACAAAAAGGUAAAUUUGUGACAAAAACAAACUGAGAUACAGCAUGGAUUAUCCCCACUAUCCAGGCAACCACUACAAAGGAAAGACACAUUUUGGAGCUCAUAACUGUCAGGUAGUGGAGAGGCUUACAGAUUGCAGUAUACCUGUCAAAUGCCAUGGCUAUGAGCAGCACCAUCUCAACUCCACCCAUGACAUGAAUUAAAAAAAUAUCUGUGUCAUACAUUUUGGGAAAGAAAUGAUGUUGCAGUUAGUGAAAAGAUCAGAGAUCAUUUUGGGUACUGUGGUAGAGGAAAGACCUAGAUCAAUAGAGAGGUUGGCCAACAGGAAGUACACAGGGGAGUGUAAAUGAGAGUCAAUAAUUACUGUGAACACAACAAAGAAGUUUCCCAGGAUAAUUCCCAUGUAGAACACAAAGGAGAACCAAAAAAAUAAAAAUAAAAAGUUGCAUUUUCCAUGAAUUUGAAAGUCCGAUUAGUACAAAUUCAGAUACCACAGAGUCAUUUACUCCAUCCAUUGACUCAGUCAGUAGAGAAGAAGCUGAAAUAGUCUGAAGGUAGAAAAUAAGAAAGAAAUGAGAAAUGUGAGUACCAAAAUUAAUACAUUAUUUGCUCAUCAAUGAAUCUGUGGAAAACAUAUUGUAAAUGCCAAAAUAUGAAGUGAGAAGACUUACAGAUAGGGGAGCUGAAAGAAUGAUGAUAAGUGAAUAGGAGAAACGAGAUAAUCAAAAGUUAGGCCAGGGCGACAAAGAAAUUAUGUGGAAACAUGGCAGGUAAGGUGGAGGAAUCAGGAAAAAUGAGUAACAUAUUCCUAGCAGAGAGCUACUUUACCAAGCUUAUUGUGCAAUAAUUCCAACUUCUUCCAUGUUAUUCAUAUUUAUUUAAUAUAACAUCUUACAUAUCAUGAAUAAUCAGGUAUAUUUGGAGUGUUCAAGCUAAUCAUAUUUGUUCACACACACACUCUAGGAGAAUGUACUCUCUAUUUUUCUUUUACUUCACACCUGAGAAAUCUCAGGCAUUAAUCACACAUAGAAUAGUUACCAACUAAUGAAGGCAUGAAUGUUGCACGUAAGAUGGUAGCAUG